rnacentral:rRNA from 1 species
GACGAACGCUGGCGGCGUGCUUAACACAUGCAAGUCGAACGGAAAGGCCCUGCUUUUGUGGGGUGCUCGAGUGGCGAACGGGUGAGUAACACGUGAGUAACCUGCCCUUGACUUUGGGAUAACUUCAGGAAACUGGGGCUAAUACCGGAUAGGAGCUCCUGCUGCAUGGUGGGGGGUGGAAAGUUUCGGCGGUUGGGGAUGGACUCGCGGCUUAUCAGCUUGUUGGUGGGGUAGUGGCUUACCAAGGCUUUGACGGGUAGCCGGCCUGAGAGGGUGACCGGCCACAUUGGGCCUGAGAUACGGCCCAGACUCCUACGGGAGGCAGCAGUGGGGAAUAUUGCACAAUGGGCGGAAGCCGGAUGCAGCAACGCCGCGUGCGGGAUGACGGCCUUCGGGUUGUAAACCGCUUUCGCCUGUGACGAAGCGUGAGUGACGGUAAUGGGUAAAGAAGCACCGGCUAACUACGU